UCCGUUACGUGGAUUUACCUUUUUCGGGCAUCUCACCAGGUAGCCCGCCACACGUGUCGUCCGCUCCGUUCUUUGCUUUUAUUCCAACGGUUAUUAAAUUGGAGUUGGAUCGGACGGCUAUUAUCGGAGGAGGAUACUUGGGCUACGUGAUGGGCGAUUGGGGAAAAGCGAAGGGGAGCUUUAACUUGAUGGUGGUGUUUGAAUGAUUGAGGUGGGAUUAAAGUGCAGCGGACACCGGAAAGGGCGUGGAACAGGGGAAGUGGGCGUCCCUCUCCAUCGCUAUCAGG
rnacentral:lncRNA from 1 species